UGGUGGCGAUAGCGAAGAGGUCACACCCGUUCCCAUUCCGAACACGGCAGUUAAGCUCUUCAGCGCCAAUGGUAGUUGGGGGUUUCCCCCUGUGAGAGUAGGACGCCGCCAAGCC
rnacentral:rRNA from 1 species